CAUAAAGCUGACGCUUACAUUUUUUCCGGAAAGUAAUGAAAACACAAAAAGUUCAGGUCACUUUCAAUUAUAAUGAAGAAAAAAUACAAACCAGUGUAAAAUGUUCGGAUUUAAGCACGUUCAGAAACCGCUUUGGAAAACAUAACAUAUGAAUCGGCAGUGUUGGGGAGUACCUAGAUACUUGUACCUAGGUAUGUACCUAGAUACCAUUUUUUGGUAUAUUUGACCUUACCUAGGUAUACAAAUAGGUACUGAUUCUUCUAUACCUGGAGAAGCAGGUCAUCGCAAUAGAAAAUUCACAAAGAAAAUGUGACGCGGCCGCGCACAAUAAUAAAUAAUUCAUAAUAAAUAAUACAUAAUAAAUAAUACCUAAUACAUGAUACAUAAUAAAUAAGACAUAAUACAUAAUAGAUAAAACCAAAACAUAAUAAAUAAUUAUCAUAAACAAGUUCAAAUUCACAAAUGGCCACAACCCGGCCACACUAAGUCGGGCAAUUCGGACAUACGGGCACACUAAGCCAAGGGCUAUAUAAAGCGGGCGGCUGGCCUCAGAAUGAUCAGUCGGUGGUCGGAGUCGACCGAGGUGGAAGUCACCAGCGAGCGGGAAAGCAGCAAGAUCAGGACCGGGAUCAACAAGUGGUAACUAUUGGAGGGUAAGCUCAACCCCUACGUAUAUACCCCAGCUGACUUCAGGGUCCUGCUUACGUCUAUACGUUGACUUCAGGGUCCUACUUACGUAUCUACGCUGACUUCAGGGUCCUGCUUACGUCUAUACGUUGACUUCAGGGUCCUACUCAC